UACAGAGGUCUCAACCGUUGUUCGGAUUCAUUGGGCGUAAAGGGUGCGUAGGCGGUCGUGCAAGUCGGAUGUGAAAUCUCGGGGCUCAACCCCGAAACUGCCGUUGAUACUAUCAAUCUUGAAUAUUGUGGAGGUAAGCGGAAUAUGUCAUGUAGCGGUGAAAUGCUUAGAUAUGACAUAGAACACCGAUAGCGAAGGCAGCUUGCUACACAAUUAUUGACACUGAGGCACGAAAGCGUGGGGAUCAAACAGG
rnacentral:rRNA from 1 species